CCCAGAACUGAGCCUCUACUUUGGUCUAUCCUCUUUGGUGUUAAUGAUGUGCAUCUGCCAUUCAAUUAUAAGGAUCCCGAGAGCAUUCUAUCUUGUCUCAAGCUGAAAAGGACCACGUGCUAUAUUAAAAGCUCUUAUAUAUUUGACUGCAUCCUGCAAAUUCUUUCUGCUGUUGCUGAAGCAUUCACAAAUUUAUUUUUGAAAAGUUGUUUUGGUCACAGAAAUCAAUUUCGAGAUCGUAAUAAUAGGGUUGAGUAUAAAAUCAGCUUGUCUGAUCAUAUCGUUCAUACAUGGGAAAAAUGCAUGAGUAAAAAGCUCAGUUUCAUAAAAAAAUACUGGUGCAGCUGUGACCUCACUGGAGGUGUUUGUCUCCUUCAAUCUGCUAGUGUGAACCUUUUGCGGAGUAAUUUUCAAGGUCUAGAGAAGGUCUUGGAUGUUCAUAAGAGGUGAAAUGUCCUAAGUGCCUGCCAAAUAAGCCCACUGAGUUAAAGUCCAAAAGAAUUUGUUUUCAAAGAUCGUCACAGGUUGAGCAGCGUUGUUGUGCAAAACUCCGACGGUGUGCAUGUGGUAUUUUGUAGGUGGAUGGAUGGAACUUGGACAUUGCAGUCGAAGCUUUUGCAGCCCAACUAAAAUAAUUCUGAAUGAACCAUCAUUCAAGCCCACGGGGCACUUUACGUAAUUCUCGAGGAGCUUGCGGAAUUAAAAAAAAUUCUAUAUUAUGCGGAUCAAUAGAAACUAAAAAUUGAAUUAAACUUUAGGUUCAAUUUCGAAAAGAUUUUUGAUAUAUUUUUUGAGCUUUUCUUAACAUUCUUAAUCUCGAUCCCAUGAUAAAAUAUCCGCGAACGUUAGUCUUCUUCUAUUAGAACCCUGACUAUCAGCCCAAGAUAUACCGAACCUGAAACGCAAGUCCUGUGACGCCUGGAGCACACGUGAGCAGGUGUGUCUGCUGUCAACUAUGUUGAAGUCAGGGGACCAGAACAGUAUGUCAGUAUCCCGCUCAACUCGCCCUUUCGUUGAGAAAAAAGCUUUGCAUCCCCCAGACUGAUUUUUGGAGAAGUCGUUUGCAAUCCAGUACGAGGCGAUUCUACUAGAGAACGCGUGUUGAGGAUCAACACGAAACCCUCAGCUCGACAGAACUCCACAGCUGCUUGGCCCUGGCUCUACGUUUUCAUCAGGUCAACGCUGGCCUCUUCAAUGUCUGAAAGAUCUUCUCUUGGUACCCCUAACCUUCCAGUAUUUCCAGAAGCAUCCGAACCACCUGAACUCAGCAGAUCGAUCCAGCAAUAAAAUUAUCAAUCAUCAGACUCCAAUUGAAUGAAAAAAGGAUGAAAUGAAGAAGAAGAAGAAGAACGAAAAGAAGUGUCGACGAGUCCUCCGACUGACUGAUCUGCCAGCCACACCCGUGAGUGGGCCUGAUUUGUACGUUAAUUAUAAUUAGUAGUUUUUAAAUGAUGAUGUUAUAAAUAUUGUUAAUACAAAAAUUCUGAGUUUAUUCGUAUGAAGAAAGAGAAAACUAUUAUUGAACGAAUUAAAUUGAGGUUUUUUUAUUAUCUACUUAAUUAGAAACUGAUAUUUAGAAUUUUACGUAUGUCCUACCGAGAAGAAGAUUGAGAAGAGCGUUCAAAGAAAUUCUUCUAGUGGAAAAUUAAAUUUGCACACCAAAGAUGUGUUUUCAGAAAUUACAGGCCCAUUAAUGUGUGCGGUAAGCUCUUUAAAAAUAGCUCUGAUUUAUAAAUUUUUUUGUAAAUAUAAAUUUAUCAUUUCUGAGAAGGUAGUAGUUACAAAAAAUCACAUCAUAAUUAUGCGGCUUUGUAGAUAAAAAAUUCCAAUGAAAAAUAAACUAGAUAGUAUUCGUGAAAGUUUAAAUCUAUCCUAGACGACAUAGAUCGACAACGCAAAACGGUAUACUUGUUUUUUUCCAGAAGAGGAUAGCUUAUUAUCAGCUGUGUGAAGUUGGCACCCCACUUUCACCGAUUGAAGAAUUUGACUGCAUAUUCGAAGCAGAUUGACGCGCAAAGAAGUGUAGUAACAAUUUUUUCGGUUGUAGUUAAGCCAUUAGGCCAGAAUUUAUUUUUUAAAUACCCUAAGGACAAAAUUAAUAGAUAAGUCGCCGGAGACUUGGUUUUCUAAAACGAAAUGGUGCGUAGCAUAGAUUGUUGCAUGUCAAACACGCGAAAUAGAUUUUUUUUUUGAUAUUUUUCAUUCCCGUCUUCUUUGGGACAAUUAAAAUUUCUACCUUGAGCAAAUUCCCCAAUAAAUCCAUAAAAAACUUAAAAUUUUCAGACGCAUUGCUUAGAGUCUAAUAAAACUAUAGAAUUCUUUCGAAUGUUUUCGGAAUAUUGCUCAUAUUAUAUUUCAGUACUUUUUUCUUUAAACAUUUUCAUCAUUUUGUUAAAAUAACUCUGAAUUCCCCGCACCUAUAAGGAACCGCUCUAAUCCCUUUAUGGACGGUAAACUCUGCACGUGGAAUUACUUUAUAGAUUCUUUUCCCCAAAUAUUAUAUUGUCCACUGCAAUAAUCAUUUUUCGGCUUACUACCAAAUUGUUUAUUAGCAGGAUUAUUGCUUUUUUCUCGACCCUAAAAGACUUCAAGUUCAUUUUGCUACUUCUAUAAUUUUUCAUCGGUAGUAUUGUCGCGACCAUCAUCGUAGGAACAUCUCGACGGAGAUCUUUCUUUCGAUAUCAGUGUUAUAGUUCACCCUUUUUUUGUAAAAUAUAUGUGAAAUUGUGAAUUAAAAGGGUUGUGUGUUAAUGAAACAAUUCCCAUUCUCCUCA